AUUGAACGCUGGCGGCAGGCCUAACACAUGCAAGUCGAGCGGCAGCGGAAAAGUAGCUUGCUACUUUGCCGGCGAGCGGCGGACGGGUGAGUAAUGCCUGGGGAUCUGCCCAGUCGAAGGGGAUAACUACUGGAAACGGUAGCUAAUACCGCAUACGCCCUACGGGGGAAAGCAGGGGACCUUCGGGCCUUGCGCGAUUUGAUGAACCCAGGUGGGAUUAGUUAGUUGGUGAGGUAAUGGCUCACCAAGGCGACGAUCCCUAGCUGGUCUGAGAGGAUGAUCAGCCACACUGGAACUGAGACACGGUCCAGACUCCUACGGGAGGCAGCAGUGGGGAAUAUUGCACAAUGGGGGAAACCCUGAUGCAGCCAUGCCGCGUGUGUGAAGAAGGCCUUCGGGUUGUAAAGCACUUUCAGCGAGGAGGAAAGGUUGGUAGCUAAUAACUGCCAGCUGUGACGUUACUCGCAGAAGAAGCACCGGCUAACUCCGUGCCAGCCGCCGCCGUAA
rnacentral:rRNA from 1 species